rnacentral:tRNA from 1 species
GGGCGUAUAGCUCAGUGGUAGAGCAUUUGACUGCAGAUGAACAGGUCCCCAGUUCAACUCUGGGUGCCCCCU